rnacentral:rRNA from 1 species
GACGAACGCUGGCGGCGUGCCUAAUACAUGCAAGUAGAACGCAGUUUCCAACGGGUGAGUAACGCGUAGGUAACUGCCUCAUAGCGGGGGAUAACUAUUGGAAACGAUAGCUAAUACCGCAUACUUUUAUAUGGACCUGCGUUGUAUUAGUUAGUUGGUGAGGUAAAGGCGCACCAAGGCGACGAUAAAUAGCCGACCUGAGAGGGAGAUCGGCCACACUGGGACUGAGGCACGGCCCAGACGCCUACGGGAGGCAGCAGUAGGUAAUCUUCGGCAAGGGGCGGAAGUCUGACCGAGCAACGCCGCGUGAGUGAAGAAGGUUGUCGGAUCGUAAAGCUCUGUUGUUAGAGAAGCGGUAACUAAACAGAAAGGGACGGCUAACUACGUGCCAGCAGCCGCGGUAAUAC